UCCGUUAUGGUCUAGUGGCUAGGAUACAUCGCUCUCACUACUUGCGAAGUGCCGAUGUGGCCGGGGUUCGAUUCCCCGUGACGGAA
rnacentral:tRNA from 1 species